rnacentral:rRNA from 1 species
AUGGAAGGCUCAGCUGACUCAGUCAUCGUGCUCAAUAGUGUGGUGCGUGUUGCACUGUUCUGGAAUGCAACAUGGAACUUCCUUGGGAGUUCAGUCUUGGUGAUUAGGGGAAUAACAGAUGUGGUGACGUUGGAAGCUAUCACAUGUAGAGAGGGCUUGGCAUUGGGGGAGGAUCUUGGGCUACAAAAUGUUGUCAUUGCCUCUGAUUCGAAGCAAGUUAUAAAUGAUAUCGACAAAGGUAGUAGGGGAGGCUAUGGAGCUGUCGUCAGUGAGAUCAAACUGAGAGCAUUAUCCUUUAAUUGUAAUUUUCUUUUUGAAGGUAGAGCGUCGAAUAUCGACGCAGAUAGACUAGCCAAGUUUUCACAUUCCUUGGACAUUUUUUUUUUGAGACAAUCACAUUCCUUGGACAUGGGGAGGCAUGUUUGGAUGUCGGUACCCCAUGAUCUGUUUUGUAUCCCACAAACUGUGGAAUUUGAGUACUAA